GCGCCCUCCUGUGCCGGGAUCCAAGCAGGGGGACAGAGCGACCCCAACCCCGGUCGGGACCGACGGGGCCGGGGGCACCGGGGGCACCGGGAGCACCAGGGGGGCCGGCAGGGCCCGUCUCACCACGGUCACCCUGAGAGGAGGAGGAGGAGGAGGAGGAGGAAGAGCAGACAUAAGCACGGAUCGGCACAGCACCGCCGCCCCAACCCACCUCCCCAACCGCGGGCACUCACCUUGGGACCGGCAGCACCGUCACGACCGGGGGCACCUUCGGCACCGGGAGCACCCUAUGGGACAGCAAGACCCCGAAGCCCCCGUUAGGAUGAGGGAUGCUGACGAGGGGGGGCACAUCGCUGAGCCCGGCACGUCCAGCCUUCACCCUACCUCACGUCCAGCUUCACCAGGGGGGCCAGCAAGGCCGGGGGGCCCAUGGGGCCGGGAGGACCGCGUUCACCGGGGGAUCCGGAGGGACCCUGCUUGCCGGGUUCGCCCUACGGAGCAGAGAGCGCGGAGGCGUCGGACACCGGCAGCGCCCAUCAGCCCGGGGGGGCCGCACGGUGAGCUGGGGGGGUCCCAUGGGGUACUCACAGAGGGGCCGGGCAGGCCGGGGAAGCCUCUCUCGCCUCUCUGUCCGGGGAGACCGACGACACCGCGCUGACCGGCGAUACCUUGGGGUCCGGGGGUGCCGGGAGCGCCCUGGGGGGGGGGACGAGCAGCACCUCAACGUGGGCACCUCCCGAUGGAGGGCAGAACCGCGGGGCGACGCGGCCCGGUGUCCGCGGGGGGCUCACGCCGUGGGGUGACUUACAAUGGGGCCGUCGGCGCCGGGGGAGCCUUUCUCGCCGGGGGGGCCGGGGG
rnacentral:lncRNA from 1 species